rnacentral:rRNA from 1 species
CUGGUAUGUACUAGCUUGCUGAUUCCUCCUUCUUGUAGAACCGUAAUGCCAUUAAUUUGGUGUUGCGGGGAAACAGGACUGUUACUUUGAAAAAAUUAGAGUGUUUAAAGCAGGCUAGCGCCUGAAUACAUUAGCAUGGAAUAAUGAAAUAGGACGUUCGAACCUAUUUUGUUGGUUUCUAGGAUUGACGUAAUGAUUAAUAGGGAUAGUUGGGGGCAUUAGUAUUCAAUUGUCAGAGGUGAAAUUCUUGGAUUUAUUGAAGACUAACUACUGCGAAAGCAUUGCCAAGGAUGUUUUCAUUAAUCAAGAACGAAAGUUAGGGGAUCGAAGACGAUCAGAUACCGUCGUAGUCUUAACCAUAAACUAUGCCGACUAGGGAUCGGAUGAUGUUAAUUUUUUAAUGACUCAUUCGGCGCCUUACG